GCGGGCGUGGCGGAAUUGGUAGACGCGCUGGAUUUAGGUUCCAGUGUCGAGAGACGUGGGGGUUCGAGUCCCUUCGCCCGCACCA
rnacentral:tRNA from 2 species